CAGCAGUCGCCACGGUAACACAGAGGGUGCGAGCGUUAAUCGGAUUUACUGGGCGUAAAGCGUGCGUAGGCGGCUUUUUAAGUCGGAUGUGAAAUCCCUGAGCUUAACUUAGGAAUUGCAUUCGAUACUGGGAAGCUAGAGUAUGGGAGAGGAUGGUAGAAUUCCAGGUGUAGCGGUGAAAUGCGUAGAGAUCUGGAGGAAUACCGGUGGCGAAGGCGGCCCCCUGGACAAAGACUGACGCUCAGGUGCGAAAGCGUGGGGAGCAAACAGGAUUAGAUACCCCUGUAGUCCCUGUCUCUUAUAC
rnacentral:rRNA from 1 species